rnacentral:lncRNA from 1 species
GCCUCUCUCUCAUCUAGUGUUUGUCCCAGAUUCUCUUUCAGCAAAAUAAAUGACCCAUCACUGAAGAUAAAGAAUAAAAGGUCCACUUCUCAAAGGAUAGGAAAGCACUGAUGCAAUACUUUUUCCUAAAAAUGGUAGUUCAUAAGCACCAUGUAAGCAAAAUACUGCAAUGAUCAGCAAAAGUUUAAUAUUGAAAUACAGUUUUUAUUCUUUAAUCAGCAAGGACAUAGGUACUUUCCCUUCACCUUUACUGAAACUUAAAAGUGGAAAGUGCAUCAAGGCAAUUGACUACUAAAGUGAUCAUCCUAUCUUGGGAUCUAAAGGUUCUUUUUUAAAUCCAUUUCAUUAAUCGUUUAUAUAUAAUUAACCAAAAAAAACAACAUGGCAGUAUGAACAUUACUGGAUGCUGGACUGUGGACUCUAGUUCCUGCAACAGAGUCAAAAGCAAAAGGGAAGAAGAGCACCCCCAGGGUAUGGUCGGGUUUUAAGUGCAAAGAACGAUUAAAAAACACAUGUCAGUGAAGGAAGACGAAUAUGAAGAUGAAGAAAUAAAAAUAACCACAGACAAGCCAUUAUAUGGACAAAUGAACUGAGAAAAAAAUUGCAAGUGAAACAUAAAUAAAGAAUAAAGCAUGUCAAUCCAAGUUCAAAAUCCGUUGCAAAGAUGCAAAUUUAAGUUUCUAAUUCAAUUUUAUUGACUAAUUGUCCUUGACUAAUUUUGUUCACUAAGUUUCUAACAACCUGUUUUUAAUCAUUAACAUUUUUUCCAUAACGUUUUCUUAACAAGUGAUAAAUAACUUUGCUUUAUAAUUAUUUGUUCUUUGACUCUGUCAAUGUGAGCUUGUUGAAAUUAUUGGUCCUAAGCCCAGAUAAAGAGAGGAGGGUUGCCGAAGCCCGAAGGUCAAUCGGAAACAGCUUCUAUACCACAUAAAGUUAGGGGUAAGAUUGCAUACAUCUUACCCACCCCAAACCCCACUUGUGGGAUUACAUUGGAUUUAUGUUGUUUUAUAAUUAUUGUAUAUUAUCGCCCUCUUCAAAACAAAACUUACAGGCAUUAUAAAUUACUACUUACACUUAUUAAGAAGCAAUUAGUUGGCUGUCUUUCUAGGCACAGACUUACACUUAAGCACUGCCUAAACAACGCAAAGUACUCUUUUAACAAAUUGCUACAUAAUCCAACAAGUUCUGCCGCAGCUACAUAAAUUGAUAAUCUUCUAUCUUUUAGCAAUCCAUGUGAUCCAGUUCAUUGGAUUUCCAGUCACAGUAAACCAUGAGGCAUAAAAUGAGUAGGUAUUCCAUGGCCCCAACAGUAUCAGUAAUCAAACCACAAUGUCCUUUUAUCACUUUUAAGCUGAUACGGGGGACUCAAAGUAUGCAACUGCCUGAACAAGACGCAGAAGGAAAGCAUAUUGCACUUUUACCUUUUCUGAUGUGAAGUAAUUGUCCUGCAUAUCAAGGAAUAAAAUGGAAGUGUAGGUAAGAACUUUGUGGCUAAGAAAUUUCAUCCAAGAUGGCUUGGAUGUCCACUUUUAGGUCCUUUUUGAUCAUUGAGUACUUUUAAUAUCCUAUUCUGCACUGCUAUUCGUUGGACAGAAGAACUUUUAUCCACCUCACAACUCACUAGCAAAGGAAAAGAAUACGCAUCAAUGUGUCACGGCCAAUAUUAUUCGUGCCAGAAUAAAGGACAAACAAGUCAAAUUGUUUGAGAUAUUCCUGAUCCACACAACAGAAUAUUCAAGGUGCUCUACUAUCUUAUCCCUUUUAAAUCAUGUCCAAUUACUUUUCAGGACUUCAACAAAGAUGUCUCAUUUUAAAAAGUAUCAGUUGACUGUUAAAGGACCUGGAGGCUAAUCUAAAACUUUCUACUUUUGUGGAGGUAGAGUCCUGAGAAAAAGUGAAAAGUGUAGGUUCCACGUAAGUCACCUGAGCACAGCUAAGCCUUUCAAGUUUUAGGUCCCUCAGAUUCCAAGGGAACUUUAGCUAUCUAUUUCUGCUCUGCCAUUUGCUGAGCCUUAGCACUUUUUCCACAGUUUAUAAAUGCCAAGAAAUCCACCAUGGAGCAAUUCUUGUGAUACCUAUAUGCUUAUAAAAUUACUAAUUUUUGGGCAUGCAUUUAUCGCGCAUCAAUGUGAAGUAAUCUUCUUAAAACAACAUACUAUUAAUAUAUAAAUAGAUGUGUUCCAUUAUAAAAUUAAAAUUUUAAAAAGUUUCAAGUUCAUGAAUAUAAUGAACGUUAAUUAUCUUUUGCAAUUUAAUUAAACCCACUUCAGUGAUUCUUCGACCAGUUCGCUCCAAACUUGCUUUAGAUCUUCAUAACAUCAUAAUAAGAUUGAAGGGUUGCAACUCGUUGUCACUAAAAUUAAAAGCAACUUCCACUACUUUUUUCUUCCACUACUCUUCUUCGAAGAAAUUCCAUGAUUUACUUCGCUAUUUCUUAAUGUAGUCUACUUUGCAGAAGUUCCUGGUUUUAGUAAAAUGCACUCAGUUACAGAAUCAAGCUUAAAGUUGAUAUUUAAAAAAAUUCAUAAAGAAGUCCAUUGAAUAAUAACUCUGAUUAAAACCUUUCUAAUCCUUGGGUUACAAAGCAAAGGAAAAUGAAGCAUUAAGAAGAACGCAUCUUUAAGGUUCAAGGUCUGUCAUUACUUCUGUUAAAUGAAAUUCCAGACUUGGUAUAAAUUAAUUUCAUUUCAUAGUAAAUUGAGAAGCAAAAUUACAAUUUUGCUUUUUAAAAGAUAUUUAAGUUAUUUCAAUUCCCUAAAAUGACUUUUCCCCUGCAAAUUUAUUUGCAUUAGAACUUUUAACUAACUUAAGGGAAUAUUUAAUGAAAACUGACAAAAAUAUUUUAUAAUUGUGUUCCUAUAUUUUAUAGGGACAUCCAAUUUUUGAGUUGGAGAAAAUAUUGAACCUGAAUCUUUAAACUCUUAAGAUGCGAAUACAGGAAACGUGAAUUAGAGGUAAGAGACUUGAGUAAAGCAGUUAAGACAAAAGGAGACCAAUUUCUAUACUAAAUUGAUCUUAUAAAAACUCUUUUCCCAGAAAAUUCCUAUUUCUUGUCAUUGCUAGACUUUAUUUAGGGCAAAAGAUUUAUUGAUGGUUCAUUCCAUUCCGAAGUUAGUAAUGUUCAUGAAGUUGGCGAACUUUCCUCUAAAUAGCUUGUUUGGAUGGUUGUUACCUAUUGCAUUGUAGUGUAUUAUGUUGCUAGUUUAAAUAUACUGUUGUUUUAGUGGUUUCUUAAAUUUUAGAGUUAAUGGUUAAAAAAACACCUGAACUAUCACUUUUUUCGCGAGUUUCACACCCAAAUUAUGAGUUGUUCCCUUUUCCUAUAUCACCAUAAAUGUAUUAAAAUACACCACGGCGCUGAUUAAACUAGCUAUUAGUUGUUCCCGGUGUGCACUUUCUGUUAUCACCCUCUUUCAUUGCCAUUUUUGAAGCCAAUAGAAAAAAUCUUUCCCACCUAAACUAUCACUAUCUACGCAAGUAGAUGUUUUAUUUAUGAAACAAUGUUAUAUGCAUCAAAGAAUGCAUUCGGAGGCUAAUCCAGAUCAAUAUUUUAAAACAUACAGUAAAGACAAUGUAGAGCUUCCUAACUUUUGUGGAUGAAGAGUCAUACCAUAAAGUGAAAAGAGUAGAUUCUAUCUCAACAAGAACAUUGAGUUGUGGACCUGUGGAUUCUCUUCCCACUUUGUAGUUGCCUACUGUUAUUUUUCCUUCUACUCCACUUUCACAUUUCACAGCACCCCAUAAGUUUACAGCAUACCUGCUCAAGUUCAGUAUUCAAAGUACAAUAGAAAAUAGAGAGCAAGAAGGGAAAAAAAAAAUCAGUUCAAUGUUGAAAAAGGAGAACAGUGGGGGUUUUGAUGGCAGUAGCAACAACUGGUCAAGGGUGUGUGACAGUUGCCGUUCCACCGCAUGUACCGUUUACUGCAGGGAAGAUUCCACCUUCUUGUGUGCCGGCUGUGACGCCCGCAUGCAUGCAGCAAAUCUGUUGGCUUCUCGUCACGAGCGUGUGUGGGUUUGCGAGGCCUGCGGACGUGCCC